rnacentral:rRNA from 1 species
GACGAACGCUGGCGGCGUGCUUAACACAUGCAAGUCGAACGGAAAGGCCCUGCUUUUGUGGGGUGCUCGAGUGGCGAACGGGUGAGUAACACGUGAGUAAACUGCCCUUGAAUUUGGGAUAACUUCAGGAAACUGGGGCUAAUACCGGAUAGGAGCUCCUGCUGCAUGGUGGGGGUUGGAAAGUUUCGGCGGUUGGGGAUGGACGCGCGGCUUAUCAGCUUGUUGGUGGGGUAGUGGCUUACCAAGGCUUUGACGGGUAGCCGGCCUGAGAGGGUGACCGGCCACAUUGGGACUGAGAUACGGCCCAGACUCCUACGGGAGGCAGCAGUGGGGAAUAGUGCACGAUGGGCGGAAGCCUGAUGCAGCAACGCCGCGUGCGGGAUGACGGCCUUCGGGUUGUAAACCGCUUUCGCCUGUGACGAAGCGUGAGUGACGGUAAUGGGUAAAGAAGCACCGGCUAACUACGUG